rnacentral:rRNA from 1 species
UAAUCGCAGAUCAGAAUGCUGCGGUGAAUAACGUUCCCGGGUCUUGUACACACCGCCCGUCACACCAUGGGAGCCAGGAAUGCCCGAAGCCAGUGGCCUAACCGCAAGGGAGGAGCUGUCGAAGGCAGGCCCGGUAACUGGGGUGAAGUCGUAACAAGGUACC